rnacentral:rRNA from 1 species
AUUGAACGCUGGCGGCAGGCCUAACACAUGCAAGUCGAGCGGAGCGGCGGACGGGUGAGUAAUGCCUAGGAAUCUGCCUGGUCGUGGUGGAUAACGUUCGGAAACGGGCGCUAAUACUGCUAACUAUCAGAUGAGCCUGGGUGGGAUUAGCUAGUGGGUGGGGUAAAGGCCUACCAAGGCGACGAUCCGUAACUGGUCCGAGAGGAUGAUCAGUCACACUGGAACUGAGACACGGUCCAGACUCCGACGGGAGGCAGCAGUGGGGAAUAUUGGACAAUGGGCGAAAGCCUGAUCCAGCCAUGCCGCGUGUGUGAAGAAGGUCUUCGGAUUGUAAAGCACUUUAAGUUGGGAGGCGUUACCAACAGAAUAAGCACCGGCUAACUUCGUGCCAGCAGCCGCGGUAAUAC